rnacentral:rRNA from 1 species
CCUACGGGGGGCAGCAGUGGGGAAUAUUGGACAAUGGGCGAAAGCCUGAUCCAGCCAUGCCGCGUGUGUGAAGAAGGCCUUUUGGUUGUAAAGCACUUUAAGCGAGGAGGAGGCUACUUAGAUUAAUACUCUAGGAUAGUGGACGUUACUCGCAGAAUAAGCACCGGCUAACUCUGUGCCAGCAGCCGCGGUAAUACAGAGGGUGCGAGCGUUAAUCGGAUUUACUGGGCGUAAAGCGUGCGUAGGCGGCUUCUUAAGUCGGAUGUGAAAUCCCUGAGCUUAACUUAGGAAUUGCAUUCGAUACUGGGAAGCUAGAGUAUGGGAGAGGAUGGUAGAAUUCCAGGUGUAGCGGUGAAAUGCGUAGAGAUCUGGAGGAAUACCGAUGGCGAAGGCAGCCAUCUGGCCUAAUACUGACGCUGAGGUACGAAAGCAUGGGGAGCAAACAGGAUUAGAUACCCCCGUAGUC